AUGAUUCAGCGGCGGACGGGUGAGUAAUGCCUAGGAAUCUGCCUGAUAGUGGGGGACAACGUUUCGAAAGGAACGCUAAUACCGCAUACGUCCUACGGGAGAAAGCAGGGGACCUUCGGGCCUUGCGCUAAUAGAUGAGCCUAGGUCGGAUUAGCUAGUUGGUGAGGUAAUGGCUCACCAAGGCGACGAUCCGUAACUGGUCUGAGAGGAUGAUCAGUCACACUGGAACUGAGACACGGUCCAGACUCCUACGGGAGGCAGCAGUGGGGAAUAUUGGACAAUGGGCGAAAGCCUGAUCCAGCCAUGCCGCGUGUGUGAAGAAGGUCUUCGGAUUGUAAAGCACUUUAAGUUGGGAGGAAGGGCAUUAACCUAAUACGUUAGUGUUUUGACGUUACCGACAGAAUAAGCACCGGCUAACUUCGCGCCAGCAGCCGCGGUAAUACGAAGGGUGCAAGCGUUAAUCGGAAUUACUGGGCGUAAAGCGCGCGUAGGUGGUUUGUUAAGUUGAAUGUGAAAGCCCCGGGCUCAACCUGGGAACUGCAUCCAAAACUGGCAAGCUAGAGUAUGGCAGAGGGUGGUGGAAUUUCCUGUGUAGCGGUG
rnacentral:rRNA from 1 species